CAUAUAACCGCAAACGUGUAUAACCUCAAUAAUCUGGUUUGAGGGUCUCUACCAGGAACCAUAACUCCUGACUACAAAAAU
rnacentral:ncRNA from 1 species